rnacentral:rRNA from 1 species
AGUGGAUGGGGAGCAACCUAGUUGUGCGUGUGUAAAGGUAGUGCCAAGAAAAGCGAUGAUCAUGUUGAAAAUCAAUUCCCGGUACCCGAAACCGACACAGGUGGGCAAGUAGAGAAUACUAAGGGGCGCGAGGUAACUCUCUCCAAGGAACUCGGCAAAAUGACCCCGUAACUUAGGGAGAAGGGGUGCCACCGAGAGGUGGUCGCAGUGAAGAGGCCCAGGCGACUGUUUAGCAAAAACAUAGGUCUCUGCAAACUCGAAAGAGUAGGUAUAGGGGCUGACGCCUGCCCAGUGCCGGAAGGUUAAAGAAGUUGGUCAGUUUUAGGAUGAAGCUAGCGACUGAAGCCCCGGUGAACGGCGGCCGUAACUAUAACGGCCCUAAGGUAGCGAAAUUCCUUGUCGGGUAAGUUCCGACCCGCACGAAAGGCGUAACGAUCUGGGCGCUGUCUCGGAGAGAGGCUCGGCGAAAUAGGAUUGUCUGUGAAGAUACGGACUACCUGCAUUUGGACAGAAAGACCCUAUGAAGCUUUACUAUAGCUUGGAAUUGUGUUCGGGCUUCCUGUGCGCAGGAUAGGUGGGAGGCGUAGAAGGUAUUCUUGUGGGGAUACUGGAGCCAACGGUGAGAUACCACUCUCAGGAGGCUAGAAUUCUAACUUAAUUAAGGACAGUUUCAGGUGGGUGGUUUGACUGGGGCGGUCGCCUCCAAAAAGGUAACGGAGGCGUACAAAGGUUCCCUCAGACUGGUUGGAAAUCAGUCGAAGAGUGCAAAGGCAGAAGGGAGCUUGACUGCGAGAAGUACAGUUCGGGCAGGGUGGAAACACGGUCUUAGUGAUCCGACGGUGCUGUGUGGAAGGGCCGUCGCUCAACGGAUAAAAGUUACUCUAGGAUAACAGGCUGAUCUCCCCCAAGAGUUCACAUCGACGGGGAGGUUUGGCACCUCGAUGUCGGCUCAUCGCAACCUGGGGCGGAAGUACGUCCCAAGGGUUGGGCUGUUCGCCCAUUAAAGCGGUACGUGAGCUGGGUUCAGAACGUCGUGAGACAGUUCGGUCCAUAUCCGAUGUAGGCGUGAGAAUAUUGAGAGGAGCCUUCCUUAGUACGAGAGGACCGGGAAGGACGCACCGCUGGUGUACCUGUUAUGAUGCCAAUUGUAAACGCAGGGUAGCCAAGUGCGGAGAGGAUAACCGCUGAAAGCAUCUAAGUGGGAAGCCCACCUCAAGAUGAGUAUUCUGGUGUAAGGUCACGGGAAGACGACCCGUAAAUAGGCACGAGGUGGAAGUGCAGAGAUGUAUGAAGCCGAAGUGUACUCAUAGACCGUCGGCUUGACCAU